CCUACGGGAGGCAGCAGUGAGGAAUAUUGGUCAAUGGACGGGAGACUGAACCAGCCAAGCCGCGUGAGGGAUGACGGUACAGAGUAUCGUAAACCUCUUUUGUCAGGGAACAAAGGCAGAGACGCGUCCCCGGAUGAGAGUACCUGAAGAAAAAGCAUCGGCUAACUCCGUUCCAGCAGCCGCGGUAAUACGGAGGAUUCAAGCGUUAUCCGGAAUUAUUGGGUUUAAAGGGUGCGGAGGCGGUCUGAUAAGUCAGCGGUCAAAGCCCGGGGCUCAACCCCGGCCCGCCCGUUGAAACUGGCAGUCUCGAGUUGGAGAGAAGUAUGCGGAAUGUGCGGUGUAGCGGUGAAAUGCAUAGAUAUCGCGCAGAACUCCGAUUGCGAAGGCAGCAUGCCGGCUCCACACUGACGCUGAGGCACGAAAGCGUGGGUAUCGAACAGGAUUAGAUACCCUAGUAGUC
rnacentral:rRNA from 1 species